AGGCCACUUCCACAGAGCGACAAACCAGGAAAGCUUGCACUUAGAUCUCCAUUUGGUUGUAAAGAAUAAUUAAAGAAGAGAGCCACAAAGCAUUCCCUUGGCCAUGGCCUUCCUCGUCGUUGGCUGGUCUCAGAUCAUCAUCCACUCCGCCGUGCGUCGCCGGAGAAGCCAUGGCUGACGGCGGCAGAAGGGCCUGCAGCCUGCAGGGGCGUUGCAUCUGAUCGAAGAGCCUCCGGCGCGUGCAGAGGGCAACCGAGCAUCUUUGGCAGUCUCCCGUAUGUCCUUCCUUUUGAAUCAAAUUAUAGACAGUACGAUCUCCAGAAUUCAUCUGAACUCGUGUACUGUAAAGAUGUGAUCAGUGCUGAUCACCUGUUUAAUCUCUUGUUAUGAUCCUAUUUGUUCCAAUUGUAUGUGCGUCAAGUAUAUGAAGGAUUAUUAAUUGAAGCUAGUAAUUCUAUGUCCA